UCAUAUAGGGGAGCUGGAUAACCGUUCCGGCUGAGAGGAGGGCGCGAAGCCCGAAAACCCUGGAACCUGAUACGGGUAAUGCCGGCGUAGGGAAAAC
rnacentral:ncRNA from 1 species